AUACGGAGGGUGCGAGCGUUACUCGGAGUCACUGGGCGUAAAGCGUCCGUAGGCGGUCGGGUAAGUCGGGUGUGAAAGCCCCGGGCUCAACCUGGGAAGUGCACCCGAUACUGCUCGACUCGAGUGCGGGAGAGGAUGGCGGAAUUCCCGGUGUAGCGGUGAAAUGCGUAGAGAUCGGGAGGAACACCAGUGGCGAAGGCGGCCAUCUGGCCCGCAACUGACGCUGAGGGACGAAAGCGUGGGGAGCAAACAGGAUUAGAUACCCGAGUAGUCC
rnacentral:rRNA from 1 species